GACGAACGCUGGCGGCGUGCUUAACACAUGCAAGUCGAACGGAAAGGCCCUGCUUGCAGGGUACUCGAGUGGCGAACGGGUGAGUAACACGUGGGUGAUCUGCCCUGCACUUCGGGAUAAGCCUGGGAAACUGGGUCUAAUACCGGAUAGGAGCCAUUUUUAGUGUGAUGGUUGGAAAGUUUUUUCGGUGUAGGAUGAGCUCGCGGCCUAUCAGCUUGUUGGUGGGGUAAUGGCCUACCAAGGCGGCGACGGGUAGCCGGCCUGAGAGGGUGGACGGCCACAUUGGGACUGAGAUACGGCCCAGACUCCUACGGGAGGCAGCAGUGGGGAAGAUUGCACAAUGGGCGCAAGCCUGAUGCAGCGACGCCGCGUGGGGGACGACGGCCUUCGGGUUGUAAACUCCUUUCGCUAGGGACGAAGCUUUUUGUGACGGUACCUAGAUAAGAAGCACCGGCUAACUACGUG
rnacentral:rRNA from 1 species